UGCUGAUUAUAGUACUUCGACCUCUUAAUAUGGCAACUAUACCAUAUACCCUCUGCAAUGAGGGUAAGUGAACUUAUCUCUUGUAGAGAUCCGGUUGCCAAUAGCGGUGUUGAACACGCCUUUAUUCUCUCAGUAUGCUGAAUUUCAAAAUCACUCUGCAAACAAAAAAUGAGAAUAUAUUCUAUAUGCAUGCAACAUUAAGGAUCUUACAAGGAAACUUAACAUCACUACCAAAUAUAUCCAGGUAGCCUAUGUAUGUGCAUGCAUGUUGCAACUGUACUGCACAACAACCAGCACGCCCUACUUGUUUUUUUUUAAAGGGGAAGUCAAGUCC